UACAGAGGAUGCAAGCGUUAUCCGGAAUGAUUGGGCGUAAGCGUCUGUAGGUGGCUUUUAAGUCCGCCGUCAAAUCCCAGGGCUCAACUCUGGACAGGCGGUGGAGACUACCAAGCUGGAGUACGGUAGGGGCAGAGGGAAUUUCCGGUGGAGCGGUGAAAUGCGUAGAGAUCGGAAAGAACACCAACGGCGAAAGCACUCUGCUGGGCCGACACUGACACUGAGAGACGAAAGCUAGGGGAGCGAAUGGG
rnacentral:rRNA from 1 species